AGUGAACGCUGGCGGUAGGCCUAACACAUGCAAGUCGAACGGCAGCACAGUAAGAGCUUGCUCUUACGGGUGGCGAGUGGCGGACGGGUGAGGAAUACAUCGGAAUCUACUUUUUCGUGGGGGAUAACGUAGGGAAACUUACGCUAAUACCGCAUACGACCUACGGGUGAAAGCAGGGGAUCUUCGGACCUUGCGCGAUUGAAUGAGCCGAUGUCGGAUUAGCUAGUUGGCGGGGUAAAGGCCCACCAAGGCGACGAUCCGUAGCUGGUCUGAGAGGAUGAUCGGCCACACUGGAACUGGGCCACGGUCCAGACUCCUACGGGAGGCAGCAGUGGGGAAUAUUGGGCAAUGGGCGCAAGCCUGAUCCAGCCAUACCGCGUGGGUGAAGAAGGCCUUCGGGUUGUAAAGCCCUUUUGUUGGGAAAGAAAAGCAGCAGGUUAAUACCCCGCCGUUCUGACGGUACCCAAAGAAUAAGCACCGGCUAACUUCGUG
rnacentral:rRNA from 1 species